GUUCCGUUCGUCUAGUUGGUUAGGACACCGGGUUUUCAUCUCGGCAACAGGGGUUCGAGUCCCCUACGGAAUACCA
rnacentral:tRNA from 1 species